GACGAACGCUGGCGGCGUGCUUAACACAUGCAAGUCGAACGAAGAGCGAUGGAAGCUUGCUUCUCUCAAUCUUAGUGGCGAACGGGUGAGUAACGCGUAAUCAACCUGCCCUUCAGAGGGGGACAACAGUUGGAAACGACUGCUAAUACCGCAUACGAUCUAAUCUCGGCAUCGAGGAUAGAUGAAAGGUGGCCUCUACAUGUAAGCUAUCACUGAAGGAGGGGAUUGCGUCUGAUUAGCUAGUUGGAGGGGUAACGGCCCACCAAGGCGAUGAUCAGUAGCCGGUCUGAGAGGAUGAACGGCCACAUUGGGACUGAGACACGGCCCAGACUCCUACGGGAGGCAGCAGUGGGGAAUCUUCCGCAAUAGACGAAAGUCUGACGGAGCAACGCCGCGUGAGUGAUGACGGCCUUCGGGUUGUAAAGCUCUGUUAAUCGGGACGAAAGGCCUUCUUGCGAAUAGUGAGAAGGAUUGACGGUACCGGAAUAGAAAGCCACGGCUAACUACGUG
rnacentral:rRNA from 1 species